rnacentral:rRNA from 1 species
AUUGAACGCUGGCGGCAGGCUUAACACAUGCAAGUCGAACGAGCGGCGGACGGGUGAGUAAUGUCUGGGAAACUGCCUGAUGGAGGGGGAUAACUACUGGAAACGGUAGCUAAUACCGCAUACCAUCAGAUGUGCCCAGAUGGGAUUAGCUAGUAGGUGGGGUAAUGGCUCACCUAGGCGACGAUCCCUAGCUGGUCUGAGAGGAUGACCAGCAACACUGGAACUGAGACACGGUCCAGACUCCUACGGGAGGCAGCAGUGGGGAAUAUUGCACAAUGGGCGCAAGCCUGAUGCAGCCAUGCCGCGUGUGUGAAGAAGGCCUUCGGGUUGUAAAGCACUUUCAGCGAGGAGGCGUUACCCGCAGAAGAAGCACCGGCUAACUCCGUGCCAGCAGCCGCGGUAAUAC